CGCGGAUUGUAAGAAAUGAAAGAUGAAGUGGUACAUAGCAGCUUUUCUCCUCACCGUCCUCACCAGUUCUCAGGGGAUAUUAACAACUCUAUCGCAAAGCAAUGGCAAAUAUAAAUAUGAUUACGCCACCGUUCCUUUCCUUGCAGAGGUUUUUAAGCUUAUUAUAUCGAGUGUUUUUCUAUGGAGAGAGUGUAAGAAAUUGCCUCCUCCAAAAAUGACAACGGAUUGGAAAACUGUUCGAUUGUUCCCCAUUCCGUCUGUCAUUUACUUAAUCCAUAAUAAUGUCCAGUUUGCUACUCUUAUGUAUCUCGAUACUUCGACGUAUCAGAUUAUGGGCAAUUUGAAGAUUGUCACUACUGGAAUUCUAUUCAGGUUAUUUCUUAAGAAGAAGCUAUCUAAUCUGCAGUGGAUGGCGAUCAUUCUAUUGGCGGUUGGAACAACCAUGAGCCAGGUCCAAGGUUGUGGAGAGGCUUCAUGUGAUUCCCUCUUCUCAGCACCAAUUCAAGGAUACAUGUUAGGAGUUUUAUCUGCUUGUCUUUCCGCAUUGGCUGGCGUGUAUACGGAGUUCUUGAUGAAGCAAAACAAUGAUAGCUUAUACUGGCAGAAUGUACAGUUGUACACGUUUGGUGCAAUCUUGAACAUGGCACGGCUUGUAGUUGAUGAUUUUAGAGCUGGAUAUGAGAAAGGACCUUGGUGGCAACGGCUGUUUAAUGGAUACAGCGUCACCACUUGGAUGGUUGUGUUAAAUCUAGGUUCUACUGGGCUUUUGGUUUCAUGGUUAAUGAAAUAUGCUGACAAUAUAGUCAAGGUAUAUUCCACAUCGAUGGCCAUGCUAUUGACAAUGGUUCUCUCUGUGUUCCUCUUCAGUUUCAAGCCAACACUUCAGCUUUUCUUGGGAAUCAUUAUUUGCAUGAUGUCUCUACAUAUGUAUUUUGCUCCUCCAAGUAUGCUUGUAGGCCUGCCUCCAACAGUUAGAUCAGAUCCAGAUAGCCUUGUCAUUGUUUCAGAUGACCAUAAAGCAGAGUCAUGACCAUCAACAUCUUUUCUGAAGUAUGUAAUUCUGUUGCAAUUCUCCUAUUAAAGGAAAUUAAAUUUAUUAAAAGUUUCACCGCCUACCAAUUGAAAUUCAUCAAUUAGGUAUUUAGUUAGAAUUUUUAUUUUUUACAGCUGAACAUGGGACAUGAAAAUGAGUCCCACUAACAAGGUAACGUGGUCAUGUUUGAUUACUUGGAAUGGUCAUUUUCUCAUUUGAGUUAUGAGAAAAAACCUUGUUUCCUACAUAUUCAUACAAAUGAAGGUUAAUUCCCUUUGUUUUAUGGAGUUGUCUUCUGUUUCUUGAUGAGACGUUAACAGAUAGUUGGAAAGAGAACUAUGCAUUAUUGUAAUGGAUUAAUGAAAGCGAGCAGUACUCAAAGCAACUGUUUCUUGA